rnacentral:rRNA from 1 species
CAAGUCGAGCGGCAGCACAAGUGAGUUUACUCAUGAGGUGGCGAGCGGCGGACGGGUGAGUAAUGCCUAGGGAUCUGCCCAGUCGAGGGGGAUAACAGUUUGGAAACGACUGCUAAUACCGCAUACGCCCUACGGGGGAAAGGAGGGGACCUUCGGGCCUUCCACGAUUGGAUGAACCUAGGUGGGAUUAGCUAGUUGGUGAGGUAAUGGCUCACCAAGGCGACGAUCCCUAGCUGUUCUGAGAGGAUGAUCAGCCACACUGGGACUGAGACACGGCCCAGACUCCUACGGGAGGCAGCAGUGGGGAAUAUUGCACAAUGGGGGAAACCCUGAUGCAGCCAUGCCGCGUGUGUGAAGAAGGCCUUCGGGUUGUAAAGCACUUUCAGUAGGGAGGAAAGGUUGUAAGUUAAUACCUUGCAGCUGUGACGUUACCUACAGAAGAAGGACCGGCUAACUCCGUGCCAGCAGCCGCGGUAAUACGGAGGGUCCAAGCGUUAAUCGGAAUUACUGGGCGUACAGCGUGCGCAGGCGGUUGAUUAAGCGAGAUGUGAAAGCCCCGGGCUUCACCUGGGAUUGCAUUU